AGAGAGAGAGAGAGAGAGAGAGAGAGAGAGAGAGAGAGAGAGAGAGAAACCCCGAUUCCCGAAGGCGAUUGGUCGCGGGAGGAGGGGCGGGCCGGAGGAGCGAGUCCCGCCGCGGGGCCUGCAGGAAUCGCUGGCUCCGGCUGCCACCUAGCGGACGGGAGCCGCGCCUGGGAGGCGCACAGCCGGGUCCCUCCUCCCCUCCCUGCAGGCAGCCUGUGCCUUUUCUCCAAACGGAGACAGCACUUUGAAAAUUCUUUCAAUGGAUUUUUUUCCUUGAAAGAUCGUACUGGGGGAAAAUGAUACUUCUAUUAGUUACAUAUUCUCCAAUCGCACACUCGCACCCCCCUCGUUUUGAGAUCGCUCCCCUAGGCAGGCUCAGGCGGGCGCGGAGCGGCGCGGAGUGACAAAGCCGCCACCGCCGCCGCCGGGGGUGGGAGCCACGCUCGCCCGCCCGCCCCUCGACUCGGGAGAGCGUAAAAGUUUGUCUCAGCUCCAGCAUCCCCAGCCUCAACAUGCCCUCAGGUAAAGGUGGGAGUAAAUGGCCACGCUGUAUUGACAGAGGUAGGGUUUGUUUUUUAAUACUACUCCUUCUCACUUUAAAUUUCACCAGGGAGGGGUUUGGGAAGCGCUGCGUGUUUGGGGUGCGUUUUGCGCUUCCCGGUCUCUCCAGCCUGCAAGUCGGGAGUCGGCGACCGCUUAGUGACGAGCGACGAUUUUAAAGAGAAUAAAGGCUUUUCCGUGCCUGCCCCACAGCCCCUCCAGCUCGAAUAAUGGAGAGGCAGUCAAUGCACUCUGCAAGCGGCGGCCCAUUGUACGCAGCUGAUGGAGAGGAAGCGACUGGGGCCGGCAGGGGCUCCUUGCUCUCACCCCUCUCCCCAAAUAAACGCGCUCACCUCUCCUGGUCAGUUAAAAGGUGAAACGAACAUGAUUAAAAGACCAAAAAAAAAAAAAAAAAAAAGGAAAAGAACAAGAACAAGCUUUCUAUAUACAAAUUCUAAAUUUUACUCCCAAUACGGUACGGAGGCAGGCAGUCGAGGGCAGAGGAAGCAGGCAGAGAGAGGGAGACAGGGAGAAGGAAAGAGAACGUGGAAAGAGACGGAGCGAGUGGAAGAGGAGGCGAGAGCGAGCGCCAGGGAACCGGAGGCCCGCUGGACGCCCGGUCCGCGGGCCCAGCCACCCUCGGACCCUGGACCGUGAGUCAUGGGCACCAGAAGCGAGAUUCGGCCGAGUCCUGCCCCACCAGACAGGGAUUGAGGAACGGAAAUACCACCAUCCUCCAGCCAAACUUGUGAGGACUGAUUGCAAGGGAACUGGGGCUCCAGAUGUUGCACUAGAGGCGCUGCAAGUGUGAGCAGGUGGCAGUGGACCUACAUCACAGGUUGUAGCAAAUGUUCUCAACAUUUCUAUUGAAAUCUUUAUCUCUGCUUGCAAGAGGAGCCCCAGAGCCUCAUCCCUGUGGGAGUGACUGUCCUCUGAUAUAAGCGUUGUUCACCAGGGAGCUUUGGCAAGAGAACUGGCUAGAUCAGCAAGUCCAUCUCCACUGUGAAAAAGCAACUUGAAGCUCAUCUCUAUUGACGAUGUACUGUCUAUAGGACGGGGUUAGACUGAGUACUCCCUGCUUCACUGAAUACCUGCUUCAAAUCACCUUUCACAUUUUCUUGUUGGAAAGACAACCAUUGGAGAAUUAUCUUGUUACCGUCAGCAAAAAUGGAAACAGAUCAAAACAUUAAGAAUGCCACGGCGGCCAGCAGUUAAUGAUGCCAGUGUUAUGCAAGCUUCAGCAAAGGAAGUUUUCAAGACAGUGUGCCUCACUAGCCAGAAAUCAGAGAUCAAACCUAUUCUUUUUGUCUCAGCUGCUCCUUAAAUCAGUGCAACCCCUCCAAAUUAAUGUGAACUGAAAUGUGCAUGGCCUUUUCAACUUAACUGAGUACUUACUAUGUGUGAAUCACUGAACAAAAGAGAGGAGAGAAAAUGAGGGAGACAAAUAAGUUGUGGUUCCUGUGUUCAAUGUAUUUACAAUUAGUUUUAGGGCACAUUUGUUUUUUUGUCUUCUGCUCUUAAUUAAAUGUGUCCCUAAGACAGGAAACAAAUGAAUGGAAAAGUGUAUUCAGUAAGUAUUCCUUUUAAUAAAAAACAAAACAAGACAAAAAAACCUCCUAAUGUGGGCAACUCAGGACAUCUUAAUUCCUUUUUUUUUGGACUUCCAAUAGGUAGGGUUCAUUUUAUUGAUUCCAUAUUCAAUAGACUUUAGAGAUAUUAACACAUUAUAGUUGGAGUUAAUUUGACUUAAAUCUUUUUUCCCACUUAGGUGUAGUUGGCUGUUGCAAAAAUAUUUUGUGUUUGUACAUUUCUUGAGGAGUGGGGAGGCAAAUUACAUCUGUUGUCUGUAUAGGCCCUACCUUCCAUGCCCUGGGGGCCUGCCAUUCUGGGUGAGUUAUUAGCAUGGAGAAGGGGAAGAUUUGGAUCAAUCUUGGGGGUAUUGCUUGUGGACCCAAGAGAGGACAGGGAAGGAGCCAAACAGACCUGGGUAAUGGCUCUGUGUGAACAUUUGGCUAACUAUGUCAGUGUUGACUGUGUUGUCCUCUGUGUUCCAUAAAUUGAAUGACUAUACAAUUUUUCUGAAAAAUUAUUUCUGGUCUGAGAAUAAGUACAGGUCAUGAUUUUUUCAGUGUUGACACUAACAUGACUGUAGACACUAGACAUUUUAUGUAGUGUCUGUGACACAUUUUAGUAUGUAUGAGCCAACCAAAAACAUAUCUUUGUCUUGAGUAGUGUCCAUCUGAAUUGAAAAUGUGCCAGCGUUUUUUUCAGCAUCAUCAACAGACUUCUUAAUUAAGCUGCCAAUACAUACUGCCAAUAGCACUGUGUGCCAUUUGAGAAAUGAAUUGUGUAAGUACUGUUUCCCUCUUAUUGAUAAACAAUGUUUCUCCAUAAAAAACGAGUUUAAAGUGUUCUUUGAAUGGGGUGUUAUAUUGUUCCCUAAAGAAUUUGGUGAGAAUUCUCAUACCAUCCCUUUUAAUUUAAUUUCUAAAAACUGUUAUUUUGCUCCUCAGUAAGGAAUAGCUCUAAUUUGACCAAUGAGUUUAGCUAUAUGAUUCAUCCUUAAUAGAAUGAAUUGACCCACCUUCAAACUUCUGAUGGUGGUAUUGGAUAUUUGUUAUGUCACUUUCAGUUUGUGUGAAAUUGCUGCCAGGAAAUCUGAGUUAUGAACCUGUGUUGUACUAAUUGUAGAUAUUUAUUUCCUGUUUUGGGAGAUUUUUAGGUGGGACCAUCUCUAUUCCUGGUGCCUAGCAUGGUGCCUGGUCCAUAGUGGGUGUGUGUUCAGUAAGCAUUUGGUGAUCAAGGUGUGUAAAGUAGCUGUUUUCUUCUAGGGUUCUUAAGGCUCUAUAAAGACAGAGGGGGUCUUGC
rnacentral:lncRNA from 1 species